AGAAGCUCCGCCAUGAUCAGUUGACGGUCUGUUUUGUUCAUCUGUGUGUGCCUAUUUUCUCAGGAAAAUAGAUCACAUAUGGAGAGGCAGCAGACUUUGAAACUUUGAUUGGAGGUCUACUUCUUCCUUAAAAGCAUGGGUACGACAAGAUAUACACAUAAUAUCUCUUUUUAUAUAUUUUUCCUCUUCUUCUUUAAUUAGUUUUACGUUUUUCUUUUCUUCUGGUUAAUUUUUCUGUAAUCUUUCUUGUUUUAACAGGUGAAGGGAUGAUUUGAAUCAAACCAAACCCAGCUAAUAAAGGAUGAGUUAAGGCUUCGACCUCAGCUGAAGGCUCUGCCAUAGAAAUGGGUGUUGGCGUGGGAGAGUAACUAUAUCUAUAGAAAUGGUUAUGUUGUAUUACAUCUGGCCAGGAGGAGACCUUUAUAAAAGUGUCUCUUGGCAUCACAAAUGUAAUAUUUAUGAAUAAAAUAAGUGUUACAAUUUGAAUGCUUACCUUUCCGUACGACGAUGUAUUCUCCCAGAUAUAUAUAUUUGUUCAUGGCAGUUUAAAUGAAAAGAAGAAGAAGAGAUAUUUAGUCAU
rnacentral:lncRNA from 1 species